GCCGAGCGGAUCCCAAGUGAGUGCACUCCGGAGCGGCGGCCGCACCAUUCGUAAUGAUGGGGUCAGAGGUUCGAAUCCUCUAAGCGGCACCA
rnacentral:tRNA from 1 species